GGGUUGUGAGGUUAAGCGACUAAGCGUACACGGUGGAUGCCCUGGCAGUCAGAGGCGAUGAAGGACGUGCUAAUCUGCGAUAAGCGUCGGUGAGGUGAUAUGAACCGUUAUAACCGGCGAUUUCCGAAUGGGGAAACCCAGUGUGUUUCGACACACUAUCAUUAACUGAAUCCAUAGGUUAAUGAGGCGAACCGGGGGAACUGAAACAUCUAAGUACCCCGAGGAAAAGAAAUCAACCGAGAUUCCCCCAGUAGCGGCGAGCGAACGGGGAGGAGCCCAGAGCCUGAAUCAGUGUGUGUGUUAGUGGAAGCGUCUGGAAAGGCGCGCGAUACAGGGUGACAGCCCCGUACACAAAAAUGCACAU
rnacentral:rRNA from 1 species